CAGAAGCAAGCUCUGAUGCAGCUACCACUCAUCACAAGCCUUUAUGGGAUCCCUAAACACUGGAAGAGAUUACUAUGGUUGCAGUAACCAGUACAAAGACCCAGUUGAAGAUGCAUACAUCUAGAAUUUGAUGGUGUUUACAACGACUUGUAGAGGUGAGAGAGUCUACCUUUUGAGAACUUUGAUCCUUUCAAGAAGAUCUAGAAAAGUCCUGAAUGCCUGAGAUCAUUGAUAUGGACGUGGAAAAGGAUGCUUCACUAGGAUAAGGAUGCAGAAAUUGAAGAUGAGAGGUUACAAAGCUGCUCAAGGUUCUGGUUCUGGUAGAAGCUUGAGAACAACUCAAUUCCUACUUCCCAUUUACUACUACAGAUGAGAAAAGAAGAAAAAUAAAUCCACAGAAUUCACCUCUGGAAGAUUUAACAAAAGUUUGGAUGCCCUAAAUCAGAGACUCCACUGCCACAACACUUCUUUGCUGAUUUGACAUCUGGGGCCUUGCUGACCUUGGAGGGCCCCUCCCAGGGAUCAACAAUUCCUACAGAUAGGAAACAACACACUU